rnacentral:rRNA from 1 species
GACAGAGGGUGCAAACGUUGUUCGGAAUUACUGGGCGUAAAGCGCGUGUAGGCUGCUCGGAAAGUCGGGUGUGAAAGCCCUGGGCUCAACCUAGGAAGUGCACUCGAAACUUCCGAGCUGGAGUUUCGGAGAGGAAGGCGGAAUUCUCGGUGUAGAGGUGAAAUUCGUAGAUAUCGAGAGGAACACCAGUGGCGAAGGCGAGUCUCUGGACGACUCCUGACACUGAGGCACGAAAGCCAGGGGAGCAAACAGG